rnacentral:lncRNA from 1 species
GGAUAUAUAUCUUCACACUGAUAACACAUUCCGAAACUAAUCAUUUCUUCCACAUUCUAAACUUGGACGCAUCCAAUUCUAUCCAUCUCUUAUAUGGAUGUCCUUCACUGUUCAACCAUUACAGCCAAUACGGCACAACAUCGUCCCUGACAAUUGAACCACACCCAUAUCUUCGGUCACCGGCUUUCAAUCUACCAAACGGAACUCAAUAUUCACGAAUUCGAUUUCUCACUCAACAACAUAGAGAUUCAAUUUCUAUUUCCCCUCACAAUACUCUUGAUCUACGUUUGUUCAACAAUCGGAACGGAUCCCAAUCUCUCGACUCUGGAGUUACCUCAAAAGAAAACAAAACCAAGGAAAGAAAAGAAAAGAAAAAAGAAAAAAGACAAACAAGAGAUAGCACCAAGCUUGCCCCGGGCUCUACGCUUUCACAGUUUUUGGGCCCCUUCUACUUCUUUCUUCAACAGGUUCGUACUUAUCCCCGGAUACCAAACAUUACACAUCCGAUGUUGACUACUUUUUCCUUCCUAAUCAUCCAUCAAACCUUCUAAACUAUCCACUCAUCAAUUUACUGGCUUUUCUUAACC